CAGUGUAUAAUCACCUGAAAAUAAGAAUUGUCGUGUUUUCGUGGCCCGGAACGGACAAACCAAACACUAGCUCUAGAGAGGAUCUUUCGUGUUUCACGGACACUGUAGGUUCUCCUACACGCUUGGAAGGGGAGGGGGAGGCAAGGGGUAUUCGGUGGGUUGCAAUUUGCAAUCUCACUGUUAGAUUCCACUAAAUCCUACACACUCCACUCUAACAAAGAGACAUGAGACUGUUAUCAAUCUUCUCACCUAAUUCUCUGCAAGAAAGUGAAUAUGCAUUUUUAACCCAAUGUUUUUCUUUUAAAGGCACAAUCAGUGAUCCAAAUGUUAACAACAGCGUUGUCCAACCACCACCAAAACAGAAUACACACAAUGAAAAAGAAUAGGGAUUAGAACCUUUUGUCACCCCCAGAUUGAUAAGCAGUGUUUUGCACUGUAAAACUCUUCAAUUAUGGCUGUAAAUUUAGCCCUAGUUGAUAUGGUCAAAAAAUAACAGAUGGGGCCAGAUGGGGCAAGAUAAUGUACAAUAAUGUUUGCUGAACUGCAACCACAAGUGAAAAUUGUGAGAUAAAUCCUAAUACAUAUUGUUACAGCACCUAAACUGGAGACAAGUCAUAAAUUUAGUGACCAAGUAAUGUCUAUUUUACAGCAAUAUUUACCUCAAGAUAGCUAACAUUACCCACCUUAAGCUACUGGUCAUACCAGACCUAGUAAGACCAUAGCAGCAAAACCCCUGAGCAUAUUGAAUUGAGCAAGGAUGCGUUUUAUUGUUUAAGCAUUCAACUUUUUAUUGGUAAGAGAAAAAAUGUGUUAUUUCUUCUUUCAAAUGUGACUCAGUCUCACUUUAAAGGUUGACCCCCAGCUUUUGACCCACAUAUUUUAUUUUUUACAGAUUUCCUCAGGGAGUUUUAUCUCACAGUAGGUGGCUGAAGAUAUUUCGGGCCAACAGUUUUUUAUCCUGACACAUAAGCUUGCCACUUUAUACUCUGACCCAGAGAUUUGGUUGAGAAUAGUGGUGCGAUCCAUGCAGCUUAGGGGAUUAGGUAUUGCCUACAAUGCCUUUUGUAUGCCUUUGAAGUAUCUUGGAGCACAGUGGCAGUGCCGAGCUGAGGGCUUCUUCAUCUGAGAUCUAGUGCACCCUGCUUGUGAUGUCUGACAAAAUUAUGAUGGCACAUUGUGAAAAAUGUUAAAAUGAAAAUUUGAGUGUUGCAGACAAAGCUGAUCACAGACAUGAUGACACCUACUGAAAGGCUGCCAAACAAACUGCCUGUUUGCAACCCACAAGCACUGCAGAGUCAUAAACACUGCAAUUUACACAAUUGGACAAAUUAAGCAGUUAAAAUUGAAGAGGCCUGUUUGUGAAAGAACAAGGGCCAGUUCUUCAGGGUUGCUGGACCAUGUGUGGUUUGGGUCGUGUGGGGCAACAUCUGCUCAGCAGGCGUAUGACCUCAGCGCUGUCCACGCUCCUUUCUGCUGCAGUCAUGGCAGCUCACAGGCAGUUGGCUGUAUGUUAUCCGUACCCUGUCUUGGCUUGCCAACUAUAUAGGGCAUCUGUGCAGAACUUGCUAAAGAUGGAUCAUUUGGUUCAGUACUUGCUGCAGACAUUUUACUGAUCCAGCUGCUCCAAAGCCUUAUGUUGCCCUGUUGCAUUUAGCAUCUGUCUUAGAUCUCAACAUUUAGUGCCUCAGUGGAUUAUUUCACUGUUGUACAAGGUGGUAGUGAUUAGCGGCAAAUACCUCUCUGUGGUGCACAUGAAUGGCCCACUGUACUUUAGACCUAUCGAUUGCAUCAGUUUGUGAUUCAACCGAGCUUAUCAAGAAAUACAGAAAAAUUCUGGGAUAGUCAACAAAAAAGUAUCUGUCCUGCAGCUAAAAAUUAAAUCACUACAGUCUGCUCUCUCGGAACAUUUGUACACAAAACUGAAUAGCUGUACAGUACCUCAUAUAACAGCAUGUCAAUUUACCACUUGACAGACAAUUAUUUGCACAUUCUUAUUCACUAGUAACAUUUCAAACAAAUGCAAAUGAAUGCAUCCAUGCAUAUUUUCUUGUUGUUUUUGAUCCAAUUUUUGCUUGGUUAAGGUUUUCUACAUUGGAACGUAAGAGGUAAAGCAAUAAAAGAAGCACUUUGUGCCACAGAAAAACAUCUAUUUUCAAAUGAAAGGAAACCACACAAUAAGAGGCUCCAUCUGGGCUAAAACGAGCUUUGUCAACAGCUUUUGGGCUUCUACCGGGGACUAAAAUAAAACACCUGUCAAUGAAACAAGGUCAGUGUUAAAAGGAAUAUAAUGGGCAUUUGUAGAGAGGAAAAGGAGAAAUGAAUGUUCAGUAAGAUUAGUGAUAUCUUACAGUAGUUGUGAUCAGUGUAAACUUAUAAUAUCAGCGUAAACCAUUAUAAUUAAUGUAAGUCAACAUUAUUGUCAAUAUUUAAUGUUUAUUGUUGUUUUUUUAAUGUUUCAUAAAUUGUAUAUGCAAUUUUUACAGUAUAACAUUUCCAUACAGGAUUUUUUCCAUAUAAUAUUGAAUUAGUUCAACUGACAUUCAACUGCUUUCAGUGUCUAAAUGUCAACUGAUUCUUAUUCUUUAGCUGACAGUUGAACUACUACAACUGCUCACAUACUGACUGACACCUCAACGUUUUACAGUGCACACUUCAACUAUCUCUAGUGCGUCAACUGAAAUGAACUGCUUUGAUGGUUUACAGUUCAACUGACAUUUCAACUUUCAUCUGUAACUUUUAAAGUGACAGUUAUCUUAAAUCACAGCUGACAAUUCAUCUCCUUUCAGUUUAUACUUGCAAACUUUGUUCAACUACUUUGAGUGCUUACAUUUUUCAUUUCAAAUGUUUUCAGGAAUUGGACUUCAGUUUAUUUCAGCUGCUAUCAGCUGUAACACUUCAACUGAUACCUCAACUCCUAUCAGUACUUACACUUCAACUGACACCUCAAGUCCUAUCAGUACUUACACUUCAACUGACACCUCAAGUCCUAUCAGUACUUACACUUCAACUGACACUCCAACUCCUAUCAGUACUUACACUUCAACUGACACCUCAAUUCCUAUCAGUACUUACACUUCAACUGACACCCCAACUCCUACCAGUACUUACAAUUCAACUGACACCUCAAGUCCUAUCAGUACUUACACUUCAACUGACACCUCAAUUCCCAUCAGUACUUACACUUCAACUGACACCCCAACUCCUAUCAGUACUUACACUUCAACUGACACCUCAAGUCCUAUCAGUACUUACACUUCACCUGACACCUCAAGUCCUAUCAGUACUUACACUUCAACUGACACCCCAACUCCUAUCAGUACUUACACUUCAACUGACACCUCAAUUCCUAUCAGUACUUACACUUCAACUGACACUUCAAUUCCUAUCAGUACUUACACUUCAACUGACAAAUCAAGUCCUAUCAGCACUUACACUUCAACUGACACCUCAAUUCCUAUCAGUACUUACACUUCAACUGACACCUCAACUCCUACCAGUACGUACACUUCAACUGACACCUCAAGUUCUAUCAGUACUUACACUUCAACUGACACCUCAAUUCCUAUCAAUACUUACACUUCAACUGACAUAUCAAGUCCUAUCAGUACUUACACUUCAACUGACACCCCAACUCCUAUCAGUACUUACACUUCAACUGACACCUCAAUUCCUAUCAGUACUUACACUUCAACUGACACCCCAACUCCUACCAGUACGUACACUUCAACUGACACCUCAAGUCCUAUCAGUACUUACACUUCAACUGACAUAUCAAGUCCUAUCAGUACUUACACUUCAACUGACACCUCAGUCCCUAUCAGUACUUACACUUCAACUGACACAUCAAGUCCUAUCAGUACUUACACUUCAACUGACACCUCAAUUCCUAUCAGUACUUACACUUCAACUGACAUAUCAAGUCCUAUCAGUACUUACACUUCAACUGACACCUCAAUCCCUAUCAGUACUUACACUUCAACUGACACAUCAAGUCCUAUCAGUACUUACACUUCAACUGACACCUCAAUUCCUAUCAGUACUUACACUUCAACUGACAAUUCAAAGUAUUUAAGUGCUCCAACUUACACUAACACUUCAACUCCUUUAAGUGUUUAACUUAAACACUGCAACUCCCAUAUGAUAUUUCACAUGCAAAUAACUAUUAUUUUAAGACAUUUUAAAAUAUUUACAGUGCCUGAAAUUUUAUACGCACAAUUUCUUUUAUAAACCUUUUUUAGCUAGCUAGAAAAAAGCUGCAGAUUAUAGUGCAAGUGUAGCUUGAAUGGUCAUUCCCACUUGUUUUUGCCAGAGGACAAAAGAUCCUGUUUACAUGUUGACUCAUGACAAAAGGCACCUUAACCACCUGAACCUCAGUGACACGGGUUUGUGCAAAUCUAAAAAUACUCGCAAAGAUUCCAGAUGAGCUACUGUCAAGUGGUGUUGACUGUACUGUCCGCAGGUUCACAUGGCCUGGCAGUCGUGGCAGAGUUCACACAGAACUGCAGGGAUAAAUGAGGCUUGCCUCUAAAUGUCUGUGGUCAUACUGGAACAGUGCCUUGCACUAUAGUACAGUUUUGUCAGGUAUGAGAUAUUGUUGACUGAAGUACAAGAUGCUGUUGAUUAAAGGGCUGUUUUCAUGUGAAUAAAUGUCUGUGGUGCGGUGCUCCUUUGUGUGACACCACAGUGAUUCAGCACAUAUUAAGCCCAUGAAAGCUGUUUCCAUCUGGUGCAGAGAAAAUAAUGUAUUUUAUAUUUCUAAUUGCAGUGAGAGCAGUUCUAGCUGGCAGAAACUUCAAUAACAGAAAUACAAGCUCAGUCGGCUGAAAUGUAUUCUUAAUUCACCCUGAAUGCAGGUCAACAGAUGAGAAGAAUCAGCUCUGGAGACAGUUGUCCCAUGCAUCACUUCCUGUUUUCCU